rnacentral:rRNA from 1 species
AUAAUGGGUCAGCGACUUAUAUUCUGUAGCAAGGUUAACCGAAUAGGGGAGCCGAAGGGAAACCGAGUCUUAACUGGGCGUUAAGUUGCAGGGUAUAGACCCGAAACCCGGUGAUCUAGCCAUGGGCAGGUUGAAGGUUGGGUAACACUAACUGGAGGACCGAACCGACUAAUGUUGAAAAAUUAGCGGAUGACUUGUGGCUGGGGGUGAAAGGCCAAUCAAACCGGGAGAUAGCUGGUUCUCCCCGAAAGCUAUUUAGGUAGCGCCUCGUGAAUUCAUCUCCGGGGGUAGAGCACUGUUUCGGCAAGGGGGUCAUCCCGACUUACCAACCCGAUGCAAACUGCGAAUACCGGAGAAUGUUAUCACGGGAGACACACGGCGGGUGCUAACGUCCGUCGUGAAGAGGGAAACAACCCAGACCGCCAGCUAAGGUCCCAAAGUCAUGGUUAAGUGGGAAACGAUGUGGGAAGGCCCAGACAGCCAGGAUGUUGGCUUAGAAGCAGCCAUCAUUUAAAGAAAGCGUAAUAGCUCACUGGUCGAGUCGGCCUGCGCGGAAGAUGUAACGGGGCUAAACCAUGCACCGAAGCUGCGGCAGCGACGCUGAUGCGUUGUUGGGUAGGGGAGCGUUCUGUAAGCCUGUGAAGGUGUGCUGUGAGGCAUGCUGGAGGUAUCAGAAGUGCGAAUGCUGACAUAAGUAACGAUAAAGCGGGUGAAAAGCCCGCUCGCCGGAAGACCAAGGGUUCCUGUCCAACGUUAAUCGGGGCAGGGUGAGUCGACCCCUAAGGCGAGGCCGAAAGGCGUAGUCGAUGGGAAACAGGUUAAUAUUCCUGUACUUGGUGUUACUGCGAAGGGGGGACGGAGAAGGCUAUGUUGGCCGGGCGACGGUUGUCCCGGUUUAAGCGUGUAGGCUGGUUUUCCAGGCAAA